GUAGGGGGCGAGCGUUGUCCGGAUUCAUUGGGCGUAAAGCGCGCGCAGGCGGCCCGGUAAGUCGGAUGUGAAAUCUCACGGCUCAACCGUGAAACUGCAUUCGAUACUGUCGGGCUAGAGGCAGGUAGGGGAGAUCGGAAUUCCUGGUGUAGCGGUGAAAUGCGCAGAUAUCAGGAGGAACACCGGUGGCGAAGGCGGAUCUCUGGGCCUGUCCUGACGCUCAGGCGCGAAAGCUAGGGGAGCGAACAGGAUUAGAUACCCUGGUAGUCCUAGCCGUAAACGAUGGGUGCUAGGUGUGGGCGGCAUCAACCCUGUCCGUGCCGAAGCUAACGCAUUAAGCACCCCGCCUGGGGAGUACGGCCGCAAGGCUA
rnacentral:rRNA from 1 species